GAUGAACGCUAGCUACAGGCUUAACACAUGCAAGUCGAGGGGAAACGGCAUUAAGUGCUUGCACUUUUUGGACGUCGACCGGCGCACGGGUGAGUAACGCGUAUCCAACCUUCCCAUGACUAAGGGAUAACCUGCCGAAAGGCAGACUAAUACCUUAUGGUCUUCACUGACGGCAUCAGAUGUGAAGUAAAGAUUUAUCGGUUAUGGAUGGGGAUGCGUCUGAUUAGCUUGUUGGCGGGGUAACGGCCCACCAAGGCAACGAUCAGUAGGGGUUCUGAGAGGGAGGUCCCCCACAUUGGAACUGAGACACGGGCCAAACUCCUACGGGAAGCAGCAGUGAGGAAUAUUGGUCAAUGGGCGAGAGCCUGAACCAGCCAAGUAGCGUGCAGGAGGACGGCCCUAUGGGUUGUAAACUGCUUUUGUAUGGGGAUAAAGUCAAUCACGUGUGAUUGUUUGCAGGUACCAGAAGAAUAAGGACCGGCUAAUUCCGUG
rnacentral:rRNA from 1 species